GUGGAGGAGGACGCCGAAGGUGGGGCUAAUGACUGGGGUGAAGUCGUAACAAGGUAGCCGUACCGGAAGGUGCGGCUGGAUCACCUCCUAACAGGGAGACAACAAAAUGUUAAAUAUUAAUUUUGUCACCUUAGGUCGAUCGGUACCUCACAUUCUUAAUCUUAAGAAUUUUAUUUCCUAAGUUUUUUUCUAGGUCACACCCAUUACUUUUCCUGGGCCAUUAGCUCAGGUGGUUAGAGCGCACCCCUGAUAAGGGUGAGGUCCCUGGUUCAAGUCCAGGAUGGCCCAUAUCUCUAUGUUGGGGGUAUAGCUCAGUUGGUAGAGCGCCUGCUUUGCAAGCAGGAUGUCAGCGGUUCGAGUCCGCUUACCUCCACUGAUCACCACCUCUUCCAUAUUUGUAUAGAUAGGGAAAUGUUUUGAGCUGUGAUCAAAUUCUGAACGAAUCUAGCUUCCUAAUUGACCUUAUUAAGAUGCUGGACUCAUUGAAUUAAUUUCAUUGUUUUCAGAGAACCUUGACAACUGCAUAGAUUAUUUUAAAGACAAUAAGCAUCUUUAAUGAUGCAGAUUUAUUAUUUGUGCGAAAGCAUUAAUAACAAUUCUAUUAAGCUGAUGCUUCAAUUUUUGAAGUUAUUGGUCAAGCUACAAAGGGCUCACGGAGGAUACCUAGGCACACAGA
rnacentral:misc_RNA from 1 species